rnacentral:rRNA from 1 species
CCUACGGGGGGCAGCAGUAGGGAAUUUUCGUCAAUGGGCGCAAGCCUGAACGAGCAAUGCCGCGUGAACGAGGAAGGUCUUCGGAUCGUAAAGUUCUGUUGAAGGGGAAGAAGAACGGAGAGAGUAAAUGGUCUCCGAUUGAUAUUACCCUUCGAGGAAGUCACGGCUAACUACGUGCCAGCAGCCGCGGUAAUACGUAGGUGGCGAGCGUUAGCCGGAAUGAUUGGGCGUAAAGGGUGCGUAGGCGGCCUUCUAAGUCUGGAGUGAAAGGUACCGGCUCAACCGGGACAGGCUCUGGAAACUGGCGGGCUAGAGAGCAGAAGAGGGCGGUGGAACUCCAUGUGUAGCGGUAAAAUGCGUAGAUAUAUGGAAGAACACCAGUGGCGAAGGCGGCCGCCUGGCCUGUUACUGACGCUGAGGCACGAAAGCGUGGGGAGCAAAUAGGAUUAGAUACCCUUGUAGUC